rnacentral:tRNA from 1 species
GUCCCUGUAGUGCAAUGGGUAGCGUUUUGGACUUCUAAUCCAAAGGUCGUGGGUUCGAAUCCCACCUGGGAUG